rnacentral:sRNA from 1 species
GCCGGGUGUGGUGGCCCACACCUGUGAUCUCAGAGGCUCGGGAGGCUGAAGCAAGAGGAUCAUGGGUUCAAAGCCAGCCUCGGCAACAGGGAGGUGCUAAGCAACUCAGUGAGACCCUGUCUCUA